CCCUUAGAUGUUCGGGGCCGCACGCGCGCUACACUGAAGGAAUCAGCACGUCUUUCUCCUUGUCCGAAAGGACUGGGUAACCCGCUGAACCUCCUUCGUGCUAGGGAUUGGGGCUUGUAAUUCUUCCCCAUGAACGAGGAAUUCCCAGUAAGCGCGAGUCAUAAGCUCGCAUUGAUUACGUCCCUGCCCUUUGUACACACCGCCCGUCGCACCUACCGAUUGAAUGGUCCGGUGAGGCCUCGGGAUUGUGGCCAGUUUCCUUUAUUGGGAGUUGGCUGCGAGAACUUGUCCAAACCUUAUCAUUUAGAGGAAGGUGAAGUCGUAACA
rnacentral:rRNA from 1 species